CCAGCUCCAAUAGCGUAUAUUAAAGUUGUUGCAGUUAAAAAGCUCGUAGUUGAAUUUCGGGAUCAAUANGUCGGUCGUGCCUCGGUACGUACUGGCNUNAUGGAUUCCNCCCUUCUGAANAACCNGGAUGUCNUUAANUNGGNGUCUNGGGAAAUCAGGACNGUUACUUUGAAAAAAUUAAAGNGUUUAAANCAGGNNCACNCUUGAAUACNUUACCAUGGAAUAAUGAAAUAGGACNUUUGANUCCUAUUUGGUNGGUUUUAGGAUCGACGUAAUGAUUAAUAGGGAUAGUUGGGGGCAUUAGUAUUCAAUUGUCAGAGGUGAAAUUCUUGGAUUUAUUGAAGACUAACUACUGCGAAAGCAUUUGCCAAGGAUGUUUUCAUUAAUCAAGAACGAAAGUUAGGGGAUCGAAGACGAUCAGAUACCGUCGUAGUCUUAACCAUAAACUAUGCCGANUAGGGAUCGGAUGAUGUUNAUUUUUUAAUNACUCAUUCGGCGCC
rnacentral:rRNA from 1 species